UAUUUGGUUAUUUAAUCCCAGUCAUCACAACUGUCAGCAGUGUAUCUCCUAGGGUCCUACUGCAUGGUUGCUGUCUGCCCAGUUUUUGGGUACAUAGUGACCAGACCCUGCCAAAGUCCUCUGUAAAGGGAGAAAAGGAUUUGCAUUGAAGUCACAUGUGAGGCAAAGACUCUCAUCACUAUCGACUUGCUUUCCCAGUUCUACUGACCUCAACCAGACUUGGAGUUGAAGAAAAACCAACAGUUUAACUGUUGUAAAGGGGCAACAGCGUAACAAUGAUAUGAUAUUCUCCCCAUAAAACUAAAGAGUAUUACUUAAAGAUCUAAAAGCAAUGAGGAAAUACAAUAUAACUAGUAUACAAAAAAUAAAGUUAGCAACAUUGUAGCUUUCCUUGUAUCACGAAGCACAAACUCAAAUGCCUGAUAGACAACCCAAGUUCAUGACUGCACCUCAUUCAGGGAUAAUGCUCACAGUAGCAAAACUACGUAAAAUAAAAUUUAACAACAAACACAUAGAAUUUAUAUGUUGAAAACUAUGAAAGCUAAGUAAAGAAAAGUACAGUAUGUUCCAAGAUUAUCUGGACAAUAAGUAAGUGAUACUACAUUAAAACAUUUAGAACAAUGAGAUAAGGAGAGAGGACUUCUGCUAUUGCUAUUGGUAAGAUACGAAAAUAUAUGUGAUAGUUAUGGCAAUUUAAAGGGUAGGUUUCUGUUUCAUUUCAUGGACUAGAUACGUCAUUAGAAAACAGAAAUAUAUAGAAGUGUGCAUAACAUUUUACCCUGUCAUUCAGUCAUUCACUCAAAAACUAAUGCUGUAAGCAUAUCCUCAUUACAACAGUAAUAGUGAUCAUAGUGGACAAAUCAGAAAAACGGACAAGAAAGCCAGACCUGAUGGCACACACCAGCAAUCCCAGCACACAAAGAUUGCUCUGAGUGAGGCCAGCCUGGGCUAUGUGAGUUCAAGGUCAGCCUACAUGAUACUGUGAGACCCUGUCUCCAAUGUGUGUGUGUGUGUGUGUAUGUGUGUGUGUUGUAUGCAUUCUGGUGGAAGAGAGAGUGCAAAAAUUAUCGAAAAUUAACAUGAAAAAAAAAGAAAAUUCAAGUAGGAUGAUUUCAAUGUAACAUUAGAAAGGGACAUUUAAAUUUGAAAAAUGAAUGGCUACAAGGGAUGAGCCAAAUUAUCAAGCUUACAUGGUCAAGACACAGAAAGAUCACCAGCAUGGGUGGAGUAGAGGGUAAUGGGAUGAUUACGACAGCAGGUUGAAAGGAGUUAGAUCUUGCAAAGCUUUGAUGCCAAGAUAAAGGAUUUGGAUUUUAUUUUUUUUUAAACUCAAUUGAAACUUUGGGAGGUUUCUAAGCAGAAAGUGACAUAAUCUAAUCUAUAAUUCAUAAAGAUCACUCCAGUUUCAAUUCAUGGAAUGAAUUGCAAGGAGGGCAGAACAAAAGCAGUCGAUGCAGUUUGAAAUUGAUCAGAGAUAAAAGUGGCUGGACUAUGGGGGAUUCUGAAUAUGUGGAUGGAUUUAAGGUGUGUUUUGGAGGAAGAAACAAAAAGAAUUAUAUUGAGAUAUUGAGGAAGAGAAAGGGACCAAGACUAAAGGAAUUGCUAAAUGACUUUAGGAAGACUGAAGGAAGAUCAGGAUUGCUGUUAGUAUGGAGAACCAAGUUUCAAAUAUAGUAAGCUUUAGGUGUUUUUCAGAAAUAAGAAGUGGGCAGUGGGCUAUGCAAAUAUGCAAAUAUAUGGUUCUCAGAUAGCAAAGUAAGCUCAAGACUUCUGUUUCAGGCAAAAUCAGUGUAUUGAUGUUUGAAGGCAAGGCACAGACAAAAGGGUUAAAGAAUCAAAGGCAUUCUGCAAAGCUGCUCUGCAAACUUUAGCUUCAGAGGGCAGACCAACGGAGAGCAAGACACAAAAAAACAGCGAAGAAGCAGCUGGUGAGACGGGAGAAAAUUGGCCAGACCUUAAAGCAGAGAAAAAAGAGUAUUUCAUGGAGGCCAGAAUAUUUCAGUUGUGCCAAAUCUUGAGAAUUCAUAUAAGAACAAAAAAUGAAAGUGAUUGCCUAGCUUGAAAACAACAAGGUGAGUGAUGUUGGUGUAUGUAAGAUUCCUACUGAAGAAGAGGUGAGAAGUGGAGACCAGCACUUUUGAAAACCUUUUCAGCAACUAAAAUGUCAUUUCAACCAUUUCAAUACAAAAUAACCAUUACAUUUGUUAAAACUGACAGUGCAAAUCCACUGGGAGAAGAAAGAUUAUUUCAUAAAUGAUCUUUGUAUGAUUUAUUACUUAUUUGGGAAGAAACUGUUUGAAUUUUUACAAAAGAAGUAGAGAGAGAAAUCAAUAGUAUAACAAGCCCUUCUCUAAAUGGAGUUAUUUUAUUCUGUAUUGUAGUUACACAUUUUUUUCAUAAUAGGCUUAUUUUUAAUGAAAAAUAUUAAUAUCUCUUUUUGACAACCACUUAUUUUAACAGACCACUGGAUUCAAAACUUAAUUAAUUCAAAAUGCAACAAUCUAUUGGCUUUGCAUUGGUAGUCUGCAGUACAUAUAGAAAGGUGUGACACGUGAGAAUAGUGAGUUUUAGCACGCGGUGGGCAAGGUGAAUGUUGUAAGUGAAAUACGAAGCACCUCGGAGAGAAGUCAAAAGAAGGGCUUAUAACUCCAGGGUACUGAUUAGGGCUUCAGGGAAAACUCUAUACAUGAAAAGAAUUGAUGAAGGGAAUUGACAUGAAAAAUAGGUCAUUAUAAAAAACAUCAUUGGAGUGGUAAAGCAGAACUUACCUACCCGUCAUUGAAUAGAUUUGUGGGGGAAAUACACAGGAUGUUUUGGCCAACCCAUGGUUACAACAAGAGUAUUUCCAUGCAGUUAGAAGUGGGUGACUGACUAAGAAAGCAGCGAUCCCUCCUUCCUGGUAAGUGGCAGCGUGAGUGAGCAGGGGAUAGAACAAGUCAGUGCUCCCUGUGAGCUUACCGCCCCCUUCCCCUCCUUCCCCGCAGUUAGCAACUAGACAGUGUUGAGGACAGCUGGACUUGAUAGCAACUAAGGCACAUAAAGCAACUAAAUUCUUGGAUUGUUGGGUUGAUUAUGCUGACCUGGAGCCAGAGGUCUGAGCAUCUCUUGGGAGUAUGACCAUACACAAUAUAGCAAAUAUGGGGGAUUUUCUUCCACCUUCUCGUUGAAGGCAAAUAUUGUUUUCACUGUUUGGCUUUGUUCUGAUUAAUUGCUUUGCUCUAUUUAAUAUUCUCUUUUGAUAGGUUUUAUAAUGUUCUAUUUUUGGUUUGAUUUUGCUAUAUGUGAUUGAAUGGACAACUAUUGUAAAGAUAAGUUAUACUAUUGUACCUACUCCUGUUAUCCUGGUAACCUGCUGUGAAGUUCUAUACCAAUUUCACUGCAUUGUCUCCAUUGGCUUUGUUUUGUCUUGUUCUGUUGUAUUUUACUACCUUCAAAAAAAUUUUAAAGAAAAAGAAGUGGAGAAAGCCCAGGAGGCUCCCCUUGCUUACCCCCAGGUGUUCUUGCUUAUUUAAAUAGAGAAUAAGCAGGCAGUCUGUAUAGCUCGGAAUAUGUAAAUUGUGUGGCAUCUGUAUUUCUAGUCACUGUAGGAAAUCACUAUCAGCUAUUCAUGGCCAUGGAUUCUUUUUGGAUCCUGUGUCCAGAGCUCAAGUAGCUUGUCUAAGUCCAUUUAGGGAUGCUUAUCUCCGAUUAAGUUAAAAGAAUUGUGGUUAGUGAAAGAGGUUAGGGUUAGAAAAUGGAGACUUCAGGACUGGGAUUGGGUGGAGACACCACUUCCCUGUGUGACACAGUGCCUAUGAAUGCUGUGGAUUUUUGAGUUUUACUGCGUUAAUCUGUUGCUCAAGUUGAAGCCCACCUGGUACUGCAUGAGAAGGUUUUGAGUUUCUGCCUUUGACUCAGUGCUGGAUGUGAGGAACACUUCUUUAAAACACUUCUUUAAAACAAGUGUUUUCUGGCUAUGAAGGAGUAAAAAGAAAAAACAAAAUAUAUGAUGAACAAGCAGUGAUUCAAACUUCUACCUCUGUCUGGCUCAGAAAUGAUGACUCUUGACUAUUGCUAUCUGGCUUUCCACAUAGACUCUAGGCAAAGAGAAAUGAUCUGAUGAGGACAGUGCAUGACCAUAUUGAUUCUUUGAGGAAACCAUGAAGUUACCAGUUUGUACUUAGCCCCAGAAAAAGUUUGCUCAUCUCCUUGUGUUCUUACCCUCAGACAGAGACUGACAUAUGUUUCUCAUGAUCCCGGUUUAAAAAAUACAUUUCUCAUUUUAGCUCUCAGACUAUCUAGUGGUUCGUUUCAAGAUUUAUCAAACUUCGUCAGUUCAUAACCUGAAGCCAAUACCAACAAGAUGUUUGGGUGUUUUUAGUACAUUUAUAUAUUUAGAACCUUCAUUAUAUAACUUGUUCUUUCUUCUCAUUGACAGAAAGCCUUAGUUUUUUUUUUUUUUUUGGUUUGUUUUUUGGGGUUUUUUUUUUUCCUCUUUGUACCAUGAAUUAAAUUCAGGACCUUGUGCUUACCAGGCAGGCGCUUAUGCUGCUUAGCUAUAACCCCAGUGAAAGCCUCAUUUUCUGCUUAUAUUUCCCUUUACUUAACUUUAUUUUAUGCAAAUAGAUGAUUACUUGACUUCAUUUUCCAUUUCAUUUCAGAUGUUGAGCUCUAAGCAAAACACAACAGGAGCCUAGUUCCAUCUCAAUUCCAAAUUCAAUUAAUGUGCUUCUUCAUUAGAUGAAGGAGAUGCCACCUGAGCACGUGGCAUCUGUUUGAACCAUACUUUCUUUCCCUUCUUCUAGCUGUCAUCUUUUUUCUCUCUAACCACCCUGGCUAAUUUUUAUUCUGAUGUCUAAUAUGCACCUUGGGCUAUUUGCUGGGCUUACUCAGACUUUCUGUCAGAAUCAGCCUUCCUCUUCUCUCUGUCAUCUCCUCUGAUCUUCCAAGGGGAAUAGCAAGCUCAUUUGCAUACUUCUGUGCAGCCUGGCCACAAAAACCAUAGAUGCAAAUCAGCAGCAAAUCACUACAUGCAUAGUCUUUUCACUCAGUGUUUAACAUACCCUAUAGAACCAUGUUUCUCCAAACCAUCAGUUUCAAAAUGAUUUGUGAUCAAGAUCUUUUUCAACAACUUUCAGAGAAGACCAAAGUUAAAAAUUCAUAUUUACUUGGAACUUACCCUCAUGGCUUCAGCAUGCCUUUUCUCUCUGAUUCUCAUGUAGUACCACAAAUUCGCCUCUGUUCUAGGCACAAAAGAACCUCUUAUUGACAGAGAUCCAUACUCCAUGUAUUCUUACUUGUGCUUUCUAAUUCAUACUUAACAUUUGACCAACCAUAUGUUUCUCUUCAUCCAGGGAAGUUUUGCCUUAUAAACAAUAUGUUUUUAAUAUUAUACAAUAAAUGCAUAGUAAUACACUAAGAAAAUAAAGAAAAGCUCCAGUGACAAGUAUAGGAUAAUUUGUAAUCUCUCAAUUUUUUAAUUGACUUAUACUUUUUUAGGCCUUUUUAUUAUAGUAACACAAUACUCCUUUUCAUUCAACAAUUGAUAUUUUUCCAUAUCAAUAAAUAUUAUACUACAAUACAUUAACAGUGCAAACAUUAGUAUUCACAUUACACAAUGUACAAUGCACUCUAAUUUAACAAACUAUAGCCCCUUUGUUGAGCAUUGAGGCUGUUCGCAGUUUACUCACAUCAUUAAUACUUCAUUGAGCAUCUCUACUCACCCAGUUUUCUGUGCAUUUUAACUCUGUCAAGUCACUGCUUUUUCAUGGAUUCAAGUUCCAUACUGUCCCCUCUAUUGUUCCCAUUUGCUUUACUAGUUAAAUGGGAAAGUAUUUUUAGACUAAUGUUUAUCUUUUUCAACUUGACCAUCCCUUUUUUGGAGGUAUACCCUGAGAUUAUUUAAAGUCAUCUCCAAGAUUUCACACAAAUUUCCCUAAUAGCUAUCUCCUGUUGUAGUAUACCUAUCCAAAAUUGCAUAAUGACAUGCUGGAAUUUUAAAGCUCCCUCUUCAUAAGCAUUCAUUCUUAUGACAAACAUGAAUUUUCUACUCACAGCACAUCUAGCAACAAAUAUUUAUUGGUUUUCCCUACAUCGUGCAAUUCUCUAGUUCUCUGUAGACACCAACUGAUGUCCAGUAAUUGAGUUCUGACACUGGUUACCCAGAGUUAGUAUUAGAUCCCACCCAUGAAGGCUUCAGCCCCUAACAAGUGUCCCUCAUAUGACUCCAAGAGCAAAUAGUGUGUUUCCAGGUUACCCACAGUUAUGUCCAACUUGUAUACAAAUUAGUGGUUUGCAAAACUCCCUCCUCAGGAGCACUAAUUUGCUAAAAUGGUUCAUAGACUUUAGGAAAACAUGAUUAUUCAUUUAUUAUAGAAAAUUACAAAAUUUACAAAUGAAUAUACAGAAGAUGAAGUAAUAUAUUGGAUAAAGUCCAGAGAGUUCAAAAUGCAAAACCUUCUAUCUCUACAGAUCUGGGGUGAAUUGUCCUCCAGAACAUCAUAUGAAUACAUAUUCAUCAACCCAGGAGCUCUCCACACCCCUUUAUUUCUGAAGGUUAUGUUAUAAGACAUAAUUUAUUAAAUCAUUGGUGAUUAAAUUUAACCUCCAUCCUCUUUCCUAUUCCCAGAAGUUAGGAGUUGUGACUAAAAAUGUCCAACCCUCUAAUCACAUAGUUGUUUCAUAUGGCCAUCGGCCUCCAUUCUAAAGCUAUCCAGGGGCUUUUAGCCACCGUAAUUUCAUUAAGAUACAAAAGGCUCUCUCAUCACUUUGGUGAUUCCAGGGGCCUUAGAAGUUCUUGUGUCAAGAACCAAUAGCAAAUGCUCUAAGCAUAUUUCUUCUUAUAUCACAGUUAUCAAGGGUACUUAUACCUUUAAGUAUUAGUAACCAUAACAAAAAUGGGCUUACAUGAGAAUUUUGCCUACACUAGAUCCUGUCCAUUACUUAGAACUCAUUCCAGGAUGUCUUUUCUACAUGUAUUCAAGAGUUUUUACACCAAGAGGUUUUUACAUCCACACCUUGUCUCAAUUCUCUUCAAUUUGCAUGCAUAUCUUGCAGCCUCCCAAAUGUUGUUUAAUAUUUCAGGCUUGUCUUGUUUCUUGUUUGUUUUGUUUCAUUUGUGUUAUAGUUUUAUAGUGUAAUACAUUCUCAUUACACCCAUUUUUUAUUGUUUCAGUAUGGAAGCCGCUCAAGGAUAUGUUAUAAUAUUGCCUUUUAUCUCAUGGGUCAUUAAAUAUUUGCUUUGCACACAUUGGGCACAAAACACAGAACUCUCUUUAACUCUGCAAAUAAAGAGACUAGAGGGAUUCAAAUACUGCUGUGUUACUCAGAUGAACCCAUGCAUGAUACUACUCCACUCCCUACUGUCAUCUACCAAAAGACUUAUUAGUACAAAAUACCAAAGCAAGGAAUUUAUGUCUCAAGUAUGUAUACUCAGAACCAUCAUGUUUCUCCCUCUAAGUUAUUCUUCCUAUGUCAGUUAAAAAUGUUUUCUAACUCCCUCUUGCAGUAUCGUAAUUACCUAUUAUUAGUUUGAAUGUUUAUAAAAAUCAACUGAGAUUUUAAAUACCCCAUGUCUGGGCUUUUCCCUAAAUCAAUUGAAUCUGAACUACCAGGAACUGGUCCCAUGCAAAGUUAUUAUUCAAAAAUAUUCCAGAAAUGUCUAACAUUUAUUCUGUACAGACAGGUACUCAGUGUUGAACAAAGCAGUUCAACUAUGGCCCUCCAAGACUUUGAGAAAAAUCAGUAAGUUCUGUACUGAUGGUUCUUAAUCUUUACCAAACAUUAGAAACAAUGAGGGGCUUUUAAAAAUUCUGAUGACAAGGUCACCCUCAAGAACAGAUAAAAAUCUCAAAGGCAUAAGUCAAAUUUUUAUUCUCAAAGUUACCUCAAAACACAAUCACAUUUAAGAAUUAGUGGUCUGUACCCCUCCAAUUCAAAGUAUGGUCUAUGAUCCAAAGCAUUAGCAUGGCCUGGGAGUUGUUAGAACAGGCAUGUUGGAUCCACCCCGUCUGCAGAUGGUUUUGUCAUACUAAAGUUUUAAAGGCACUGUUCAAGUUACAAGGGAGCAACUCUAUGAUUUGUUUUGCAAAAGUAUCUCAGUAUUUUUGGAGAGAUGCACACCCUUGCUAGUUUUGGUUUUAAAUGCCUGUUGUAAUUUCUUUUGCUCCUGAUCUUAUACAUAUUUGGUGACUAUAAAACUUUGAAGUAAAAUAUCCUACUAAGUGAGAUGUGAGGGAGGCAAACGUCUUCAUGCUCUUCAUCUAAAAAUGAAAUGGCACCCUAAAUAUGAAGUGUGAAUUGCUUGGUGACACACUGACACCCUGAGGUGUAGGAGGAAAGGCAGUAGCCACAGUGCUCCACUCGAUGUGGGAACAGUGGGGCUCCCUGAUGGUACGAUCACACCAGAGCCUCCUCUUGCACUCCAAGAGCAGCAACCUCCUUGUGAAGAGGUAGUUGCUCUUAGCACAGGUAAAGACCUGUUAAGUAACAUUUCCACUUAGGUUGGGUCAGUCAGCAUUGAAGCAGCUUUCUAGACAUGAAAUUUUGGAAUUUGCAUUAAUUCCUUCAGUAUCAUGACUGAGAAAUGGGUACUGAGUAAGAGCUGUUAGGGAUUUCGGUUAAAGUCUGGAAAGAUUGUUUUUUCAGUUCUCCCUGUCUCUCGAGUUCACUGCCUCACCCUUUACCCAAGGAUUGUCCUUUGCCUUUAUGCAACUACGUUAUGCUCUGCACAACCAGCUGUUCCUAGCACACACCCACACACGCACACGUGCAUAAUGGACUCCUUUUUUUCCUUCCUACAAAUAUUUCUCUCAGGUAAUGAUGGAAUGUUGAAGAAAAAGACCUUGUAAGAGCCAGUGUAAUAAUUAAUGUAGCUAAUACUGCUGAGUUCUUUUGAUGUGCCAAGUACUUAAUGAGCAAUGCUUCAUUUAACUUUUAUACCAAACAUCUGAAUUUAUAUCAUUAUUUGCAUUUUACAGGUGAAAAAAACUAAGUGGUGUAAGACAAAAAUGCUUGUUUUAGCACAAAAAGUAUGUCUCCAGGGUUUAUAUGCUUACUAUCUACACAGAAAUAGCUUUCUAAGUGAGGCUCUCUUGAAAAAAAUGAGGAACUUAAAUUUAUUGUGAAAAUUACAAGCAAAAAAGAAAUGUACAAUAAUUCAAUAAACUCUCAUGUGUCUAAUACCUAGA